rnacentral:lncRNA from 1 species
UCAUUUCUAAUAAUUCAUCAUCUCCUAAAGUAUUGUGAUAAAGACAAUGAUAACAAUAUUUUUAAUCCAAUAAACAAUGAUAAAAAUGUUUUUAAUGUCAUCCCAACCCAAAUAAACCAAACACAAAAAUAAAAUAAAGAGACAUUUUACAGCGCUUAUCUUAAAAAGCGCUGUAAAAGAUCCUUUUAAAAAUAAAAUAAUGAGUGUUUUAUACCUUUUACAGCGCUUUUCACACAAAGCGCUGUAAACGUCUCUUUUGAAAAUAAAUAAAAAAGACAUUUUACAGCGCUUAUUUGACAAAGCGCUGUAAAAAAGCUUAAAAAAUAAUAUUCAUCAGACACCUAAUUUCUUCAAACACCUUGUACGCAUCAUGGAAAUCCAAAAAACAUCAGACACAAACCCAUUUCUUCAAACACCUUGUAUGCAUCAUGGGAAUCUCCAAAAACACAUUGUUAACAAAAACAUCAUACACAAACCCAUUUUUCGCAACAUGGCAAUGAUCCUGAAUACCAAGUUUUGAUUUAAGAAGGAAAGAGAAUAUAAAGAGAUAAAAAGGGUGUUGAGGUGGAGAUUGAAUUGUGAAAGAGUAAGCUUUGAUGUUUGUGAAGAAGAUGCAUAAAAGG